AAAAAAAAUUCGAUUUUUCUGACAUGCUACACUAGAAUACCCCCUUAAGUUUGCGAAAAUUUAAUUAAAAGUUAUACGACUCAACGAUUUUUCUGUUGAAAUAACAUUGGGCGUGUAAUCUCCAAUUGAAAUCUCGCAAAAUGAAUUAAAUUAUUUAAGUCAGUCACAAAGUUUUCAGAGCUUAAAUAUUUUAACGCAAGCAACGAUGGGGUCGUAUAAUUCUCAAUUAAGCUCUCGUGAGGCGAAUUGAUAGUAAAUUAAUUAUUUACAUCAAUUGCAUCAUUCAAAGGAGAGUUUCCUUUCUAACUCUUUAACGUUUAAAUUUAUUUCAACACACAAAUAACGUACGAUUCGCAAUUAAGCUCUCGCAAAGUUAACAAAGAUGUCGGCAAUGCUCGACGCGUUAACCGACGGGUCAGUAGGAACAGUACCCUCCCCCUCACCCCUUCGUUUCGCUGCGAAGAGCUCGCGGCAAGCGCAUUACCGUGCCGCCCGCAAACGGUACGACGGCAUCGCGCACCGCGAGUGAGCGCGAACGCGGGGAUAGGUAACUGCAGCCGCGCGCGGUUGAGCUUUCGGUGCAACGAGCCGGAUCGGCAGCGCUCGGUGGUACUCGGUCGCUCUCGGCUGGCGCCUCCUCGAACACCUUCGGGGUGUGCAGGAAAACCGAGCGAACGGUGCCUCGGCACAGUCCGCUGUUCAGUCCGUCACCGAACGUCUUGGCGCUCGUCCGCGUCGUUCACGUGUGUCCAGGCUCGCGCGCGCGCUCCCCUUGCAAAAUCAUCCCGCUCGCGGAUUCGCUGGUGAAUCCGCCGUCGAUACUCGCGAGUUCACGGUAAACAGUGAGGACCGACCGGAAUCAUUGGUCACGUGCGAGAACUGCGAAUUUUCGGAGUCGGACUCGCCGCGAGCCAAUCAGCGCGACGAACGCGUCUGGAAUUCCGCUUGAAGUUGAGCAGUUGAGGAAACCGCUCGCGCGCGGUCUCGUCUGAUCUUCGCGCGGAAGGGAAUAAAAUUCAAAA